rnacentral:lncRNA from 1 species
AACCAUUUAACUUUGAUGCAUAUCCUGAACUUUGUGUUUGUGGGAGACCCCACCCACCCCACCCCAUUCCUUAUAUCUAGUAUUAUUUUACCAUCAUUGAUAAGAUCACUUGCGAUCCCCACUACUAUUGCUAUAGUUUUAUUCUUCCCUUUCAUUGAUUGCACCCAUCAACCUGUCCUUUUGAUAGUUCUUAGUGUAGUGACCUUUUUUGUUUGCUUUUAUGUGAAUAAUUGGCUCAUGCGCCGCUAUAGUACCAAGAAUGUAUGUGUUGUGUGCAUGAUAAGUAAUGGGAUCCACCUUUAGACUCUGGUGUUUCAAUUUGUUACUUGGAAGAAAAAGAGGCUGCUCUCUCUCCUUGUAUAUGGUGAUUACUUGCUUAAAAGGCACCGACUGUUGUGUACCAUAUGAAAAGUGAGUUGGAAGUUGGGCUGCGAUUGCCGAACAAGAACAACCACUGAUCCAUACUAGUAGAUAUUUUCACUGUAAUGAAUGCAUGAUGCAUGUGUAGUUUCAGAACACGUGUUAACGUAAUAACGUUGCAUGACCAAGUUAAAAUUCGAAAUUAUUAACUGCUU